GGCGCGAUAGCUCAGUUGGUAGAGCAACGGACUGAAAAUCCGUGUGUCACUGGUUCAAUUCCAGUUCGUGCCA
rnacentral:tRNA from 2 species